UAAAGUUCAAAUCUAAUAAUUAUUAAUUGAACUAUGCAAACUUUCUUGUGCAAGCUGAUCUGCGCGGUCAUGAUCCUUCGAAUCAACGAGACGUAAUCGAUAUCUUCUGGAUCAGUUCGCUCCAACUGAUAUAUGGGAAGCUGGACGAGCGCAGUGUGUCGCGAGAUCCGGGCAACGGCGGUGCCGUUGUUGCACGAGGACAAACGACCGCAGACGGAUUGUUUGCCGAAGGUCGCGAGCCAGAUAACGGUCUUUGAACGGCUAAAGACCUACUUAGGGGCUCGAGCUUGAUUCGUCUUUUUGACUCCCCUCCUGAAGUCAAUAGGCCCAGGUGGAUCCGGCAAAUUGUUUAGCCUCUAUAAACGCUGCAAACAGGGACAAAUGCGAAUUACCGUCACCGAUGCAGAGAUUGCCGAAAUAUCAGAGCUGAGGCUUUUAAGCAUGGAUAUCUAGAUCUGCUGCGCAUGCGUCAGAGAUUACGCCAGAAUUGGUGGCAACUUCUUCUUCUGGCUGCUUCUAUAGAGAAUUUGUCUAUACGUCAGGUGAUAAUUGGUGCAACUUGAUUUGGGAACCAUAGACACAGUAAAUAUAGACUGCGACUGUACUUGUAAUUUCGAUUAAAAGCGCUACGUGAUCGAAAUUCAGGAAGAGAAAGAAAGCUGUCAACGAAUGAAAAUGUAGCUUAUCCUCUCAUAUAUAAGAAUAGGAAGGAGGGAUCAUGGACAUUCCAGAUGUCCAGAUGCGCUCAACUUCACACUGAAAGACACACUCUUUGGUAUCAAGUAACGAGCGUAACGGAAAAAGUGGAUGCGUAUUCGUCAUCGAUGUUGGAUUCAUUGUUAGAUGAAAACUUGUUUGUCCGGUUUUGUGAGCGAAUUAACUCAUUAUUAAUUGCAUUUUUUAAUGCCGAAUACAAUAACAUUUGACCAUGAAUUUAAUCUUUCGGACGGAUAUUGCUUUUAUUAUUAUUCCGAGGAUUAUACUGCUGAAUACAAAUUAUGAGUUGAGAGUCGGUCUGUAAAGGAAAGCGUGAGAGAGAAGUCUAUUUCCAUUGUUUCCGAAGGUAAUCUCGGUGUGGGUGUACCGCAAAUGAUUAAUCAUCGUCGCAACAGUGCGCGCAAUCGCGGACACGUCGGUGCAUUCGCACGCAAACAGCUGUUCGUUAGUGCAUCAGACUCUUAUGCAACAGCAUCAUGUGGCUUCAGACACAUCUAACCAUGCGAGUGUACGAGAAAACGGUGACAGGGUCGCGAACUUUCCACAGGCGAUUAUUUCGGGCGGUUAAAUCAAUCAAACCGCUACAGAUAGGUUCGCUCAUUUUAAGCUGCUUUCUUUGGCUCAUUUUAAUUCUGCUUUGAUAUAUACGUUCAAUUUUUUUAUAAACAUAGAAAAUGUAACUAAAACGAAUAGACCUGACAUUUGCGUUUCAUUAGUGCUUAAAGUGAUUUAUCCGUUUAAAGAAGAUAUUUCCUUCAAUUAUAUUUCUCUAAAUCGCUACACACGCGUAACAUCAGAUAUAUGUAUAUAUGGCAACAAUCUCUAUAUAAAAUUAUUAAUAUCCUGUAAACGUAAGAUAUCGCGCAAUACGCAAUUUUUUAUUCAAAUUGAACGCGAUAUUUAUCUAUUUUUGUAAAAUUGACUUAUUCAGAUACGCGUCUUUAUUUUCGCACAUGCUGUUUAUUUAAUCUAAUUAUACGUUUCAUAAGAAAAAAAAUUUCUAAUAAAAAGUAAUAAUCCUCGUAAAUAAUUCUCGUAAAAGAUAACAUUUGACCCUGCUGUGGAGCAUAUGCACUCAAUGAGAUGCUUUCUAUAUUUUGGCAUUAAAUUGAAACUAAACAUUUGCGAUGGAAUAUUAAAGUUAUAUUUUGUACACCAGAAAAAAAAUUGAACGUACUUAUUU